AGACUAAGAGAGUUACUUGUGAGUCUAAACAUGCAUCCGUACCCAGGAUUCAGAGGCGCUGAAGCUGGCUAAGAAAUGAGCAGUUGCAAGUCUCUGCACUCUCCAGCCUCCAUUGCUGAAAAGUUAGAUGUAAAGUCUAUGGGAGAAAUAUGGCAGUAAGUCUGGGUCCAGAGAAGCCUUGCUCUUUGAAGUUAAGGACUAUGAAGAUUCAUACUGCUAAGUGUUCAACGUUUAUGAAUGAAGAGACUGUCAGGCUGAGUUCCAGAAAGGCCAAAUGUUCUGCUUGUAACACAGCUACACGGGGGACAGAACUACGUGACUCAUGGUCUCCAGCUUCCCAGUCCCUGCCUUGUUCACCCCUUGCCUCUCAGGUUAUGAGGUUUCUUUGACUGUGAGGAAUUUAUGGGAAAGACGACCUGACAACUAUACCCAUAGAGUGAGACUUCCUUCCUUCAGCUCUCUGGCACGAUAAAAGACAGGAUUUCUCUGUCGGUUUGUAUUUAA